rnacentral:rRNA from 1 species
AACGAACGCUGGCGGCAUGCUUAACACAUGCAAGUUGAACGCAGGAUAGAACUUCGGUUCUAUUGCUGAGUAGCAAACGGGUGAGUAACGCGUGGGAAUCUACCUUUUUGUGGGGGAUAACUGAGGGAAACUUCAGCUAAUACCGCAUAAGCUCUACGGAGGAAAGGCUUCGGCCGCAAAAAGAGGAGCCCGCGUCAGAUUAGGUAGUUGGUGGGGUAAAAGCCUACCAAGCCAAUGAUCUGUAGCUGGUCUGAGAGGAUGAUCAGCCACACUGGGACUGAGACACGGCCCAGACUCCUACGGGAGGCAGCAGUGGGGAAUAUUGGACAAUGGGGGAAACCCUGAUCCAGCAAUGCCGCGUGAAUGAAGAAGGCCUUAGGGUUGUAAAGUUCUUUCACCUGUGAAGAUAAUGACGGUAGCAGGAGAAGAAGCCCCGGCUAACUCCGUG